AGCUGGCGGCGGCGGCGCGGAGCCGCGGCCAGGAGGUUUCGGGGGGCUUUUUUUGUUACGUUCUCUAGAAAAGUGCGGAGGGGAGGGGAGGAGAAUCAACAGUUUUCCGAAAUUCCCCUUCAGCUGUUUAUUUAUGUACUUCCCGUGUCCAUGAAAAACGGGUUCGUUUCGCAACUCCGGAGUUUUAUAUUGUUGUCUAUUUACUUUUUUCCCCCCCUUUUCUUUCUUUUAAAGUUACUUUUCUUUAUGUCCUGCGUUUGUCCGUCUCAUUCCGGCAGAUCAAACUGUCCGAAAGCAGAUCCCCAGAGGCUUGUCCUCACUGACAGUCGGGGGAAUCCAAACAAAGAGGUGCAUCUACCGGAAAUAAUGAUUUGAGAGAUGGUUCUCUCCCUUUCCAGCCCCCACUCCCCCGCCUUGAAUUAAAUUGUUUUCUUUUUCUGGGAGGUUCAGUUCGAGGGAAGUUUUGCGCCGGAGCUGGGGUCGGGGCUGAGGAGGGAUGGAGCAGACGGAAAGUUGCGGUGGUGGGAGGAGGCGGGGGGCGAGGGCAGUACGGGACCCCGGCGGCGCCCGGACCGCGGGGGGAGCAGGGGCGCGGGGGACCUGCCGCCGCUGCCGGCUCUUUGUCUGCUCGGGCAACUUGAACAAAAGGAGAAACUCGGAUGAACUCUCCAUCUCUUCCUCGCCUCUCCCGGGUUAACUCAUCUUCGGCAACUUUAUCGGAAGAGAUUUGCUCAACUUUCUUCGAGCUCUCCCGCAGCUUAAAAGCAAAGAGUCCCGCCGUAGGCUUCUAAGGAAAUCGGGUUUCACUGUUUAGAGAAAGGAGAAGGUCACAACGUGAUUGUUGGGAAAAUGGGAUUGUUGCCAGAACAUCAGUCUGUGAUGGGUGCCAUAUUGCAUUGCUCUUUGGAUGGUGGAAUACAGCUUGGGAUUCCUUGGGCUGCGCGUUGUGAUUCAAACUGGACCAUACAGCUGCUUGACGUCUCAGCUGUUUGGAUUUUAGUGAUGGUUUAUGGUCUCCUGGGGAAAGUGGAAGAGCCCCAUACUGAAACUUGUGGAUAUUGUGGGACAUGCUGCCGAGACCCAUUUGGAUUAUAUCACCAUCUGACACCAAGUGUCUGCAGCUGAUGAAAGGAGUUUACCAGAUCUUUUUAUGUGGUUGCUGAAGCAUUGCCCUGGGACAGGAGUAAUGAUAGAUGGAUGAACAGAACAUGCUUCAGGCCUGGGUCACAGAGAAAUGUGAGGAUUUACACUUCUGAAAUAGGUGUGAAUGGGACUGAAGGAAUUACGUGGAGGAUUCUGAACUCCCCUUCUUCCUGCUCCAGGAAAGAUGAAUAUCAUUUACAGGACACUGGAGAGGUUGGAAGAACCAGAAAGCUACACUGCUCUUCCGUGGUGUAAACUACUGCUGAAAAUCAUAACGAAGAAGAAAAAAAACUUGAUAUGUAGUUCUGAAUCAAGUGAGAUUAAGAGAACAUAUGAUUCCUUGUCACAUGUUGCUAAAGAGAUUCUGAAAACGUAUGCAAAGCAACUCCGUCUUCAAGGGGGAAAAAAGAAAAUCAUGCCCAAUCUGAGAGUCCUCUGAUGUGUUCCAUUAGUUGUGGAUUUCUACAAGGAUUCUUCAAACACAAAAUUAAUUAUUAGAGACAGCAAUGGCCUUACUCAAGAUGCCACAAAUAAGGUAACAGAAGCAUGUCAAAGUGAUACAGUUUGUGUUGAAAUCUAACUAUUCUACAGGAGCUGAAAGGGUUGAAGAUAACCUUGUUCAUCAGAGGUAUAUUAAAAAUUAUUUGUAACAGAGGCUCCACUAUUUGGCCCAUGGUUUUCAGAGAAGUUUAGAAAAGUAUUUGCACACAGUAUGUGCCAAAUAUUUUUCUUUAAACUAUCCUCUGCAUUUUAAUUAAGAAGUGUAAACGUUUGUAACUAGAGACUACAAACCAACUGCCCAAAGUAAGCAGCUGGAGAACAAGAAACGAAAACCAGAUUAAACUUCUAGAAUGUUUUCUUUCAUUUGAAUGACAAUGCUUUAUAGGAGUUCCAGCUGAAAGUGAGGGCAUAUAUAGUUUGAUUCAAUACAAAAACAGUGCACAGUGUGUGGAGAGAACACAAAGAGUACACACAGUAAUUAUUUGACCUGCGAAAUUCGUAUAGAGUUGUGGAGAAAGAAGAAAGAAUAAAGGUUUUAACUGGAUUCUGUUACAAUUCAAAUAAAAGUACAUGAAUUUUUGCUUAAAUUCCUCAAAUUUUGCUUUUUACUUGAGAAGGGUGUGAGAAGCUUGAUUUUAAUCUGGACUAGCCUAAAGGAGCUGCAUUAUUUUAACAUGCUUUUACUUUCAGGCUCUGUAAUAUGGUAGUCUAUGACAAGAGAAGAAUCACAGCCUAGAAAUAGCAAAUGUUCUCUUGAACACCACUAAAGUUUUUACUAACCCCAUGGAACACUUCUCCUAAGCAGGCAAUUCAGCUUCUCAAGAUAAUAUCUGUAAUGAUGGACGGUAACAUUUACAUGCACAAAAUGGAUAAUUGCACACUUAGGAUGAAUUUAGAGCUGCUGUAGUGAGUUGAACUUUGAAUUCAAAUGAUUUGCACACACCUGUGUCAUGGCAGAGUGUGAUUGCCUCAGCUUUUCAAAGUUAGAUUGCUGAAGAUAUUUUGGAAACAUGUUUCCUAAUCAUAGAAUUCCUUUUUCACUAAGGAUGUGGCUUUGAUUAAUUAUUUAUUUACCUGUCCUCAAACAUAUUUACACUUUUCAAAACCUUUCUUUGUUCAGUUUGUGCCCAAACUGCAUGUCCUUGUUACCAGCUUCUGCAGAAAGUCUGAGGGAAGUGGCAGCUGCAGUUCUGUGCAGCUCCAAAAGAUGAAAAAACACGAAGGAAACAAGCAUGAAAUUUGAUUUUUUUUUUCCUUUUAUUUUGUGAGUGUUCACUGCAUUAGAAUAUCCUCACCAGUAACCCUCCUGCAGUUACCAAAUGUCUCAGCUUUGUUUUAGUGCUUAACCAGCUGUAAAAGAUGUUUUCUUGCCUUGUGUAUUCUUCCACCAUUUAAGUAAAUCACUUCAAUGUUGUAUUAUAGAUGACUGUAAAAAAGAGAUUUUUUUUUUUUUAAUUACAGUGACUAGUGGCCAGGUAUGCACACAAACCAGCAUAUUUGGAGCAAGCAGCAACCUGUCCUGCAGUUAUUUGAGAGAGGGAAGCAUGUACUCAUUGCCCCAUGAGUUAUGCAGCCAUCCACAUGCCCUGCUGCUGAGGACCAGCUGGCUGCUGGGUGCUAUCAGAGCUGCUUGCCAGCAGGCACAGCUCAUUAAGAGCCUAGUUGCAGGAUAUAACAUCUUUGCAGUCAAUUAACAAUGCUGCUCUUUAAAAAGGUCCAGAUCCUUUCUGAUUCAGCAAAGCACUUCAAUAUAUGUUCAAAGUUAAAUGCUUGAUUAAAGUUUUGUGUAAUGAAGAUGUGAGGUCUCGUGCUUGAGGUUAAACAGGUAGGCACAUUCCCAAAUCAGGGCCUGACAUGUUAUGGUUCUCAGAGGUUUCCAGGAAUCUUGAAUAUCCUGAAAUACUGACUAUGCUGAUUUCCAAGCUGAGUAAAACCUACAACUGAAAAACAAAAUCACAACAUGUGACUGUGAAGCAUGCAGGAAAACCUCUUAAAAUCUAUAUCUGGUCAUCAUUCUUGUCUUGCUAAGGAAAUGCUAGCAGAUUGUUUACAUUUUUGAACCCUUAAAAUAAAUUAAAGAAAUAACACAACCUUGUCAUCUGGAAAUGGUGAAAAAAUAUAUAUUUGGUAAAAUGAAUUUAUUCUUGAAGAAAGAAGCAAUGAGAGUAAUUGAAUUGUUAUGCACUUCCUGACUGUAAUCUUUCUCACUGGACAGGGUUGUAUUUUGUAGUCUGCUUCCUGUGGUCAAGUAAAGGAAUGAGUAUUAAGAAGACCAAAAUUCAAGCUUUUGCCUUAGCAUUUUAUGUAGCAAUGUCCAUCACUUUCCCAUGCUUAUUUUCUACUGUAUGACACCAGCUAUCGUAAUAUCCUACUGAUAGCUCAUUGCAGUAAGAGGCAAAUGUCUUUGCUCUAGUUCAGUGGGUCAACUGCAGAAUCAAAGAGAAUCUCUCACUGAUUGUGAGUUAUUUAUUAACAUAACCUCUCUGCUGCUUGUGGUCUAAACACCUUACUAUGAGACCUGGACUUGGGUAUUUUCUGUCCUAGUAUGUUGAAUUGUCAGAGCUCACUGCUUCAUCUUCUGCAAUGUGUCAUCUUCUUGUAUCCCCACUAAUAAAAUGCAAAAUUCCAGCUGACUGCAAUGAGUGUAGAUUGAAAUCUCAAAUAAUUUUUAAAGAACUCGUGAUUUCUGGUGAAGCAUCCUAUGAAUGUGGAUUGUUCCAUACUUCCUCUUAUUUAUUGUGUCCUGUUGGAGAACAAGUUGAAAUAAACUUCCUGGUGUGUGUGUGACACCUUACUUGUAGUUUUUCAACUUUUGUUUUCAGUCUGAUUUGGGUUGGAGUAUUAUUUUGAUUUUAAUUUAAUAUUUGGACCUGAAACUUUAAAUGACAGAGCCAAAACAAACAAAUCUCCUGUACAGAGACUGUCUAGAAGCAGCUGGAAUUGGAUCACAGCCUGUAAGUCAGGCACAGCACCCUUGAGGUAUGUCAUCCAUGCCCAUGGAGCUGGUUCUAGCUGCCCUGGACACCUCUGGGGCUGGGGAUAAUGGCUUCUGGCAGCCCAAAAGGUAAGGCAGGAGUCAGAUCCUAAGGGGUCUGUCUCUGGUUUCCACUCUCAGAUUCAUUGGAUCUGUUCAUGGAUGACUCAAAGAUUUCACAGAUGAUCAUGUUUCAGAUAAGUGGGGGAAAUUUUGGGUUUAGUUGGUGCAGUGCCUGAUCACCUCAGAGAUGCAGGCUCUGGAAACAGUGACAUUCAGAGCUGAGGCAAACCCUUCUACAAGACCAGCCCCCAAACUCCACAUCCACCACAGCCCACCAGAAAUGUGAUGUUCAGUGACAGCCCUGCCUUUCUUUUCCUUGCCCCAAACUUCCAUCUUAUUGCAGAUGUAGCAGUUUGGGUUCAGUGAUAGAUACUUCUUUAGGUGAAAACAUUUGCAGCAAAACGUCCAGCCCCUUCCAGGAAUGGGGGUGAACCUGAGCUGGGAGGCUCCAUCAGAAAACAGGCAAACUUUGGGACAGUUCAGACUACAUGUGAACUUUGCUACUGAUUAAAUGUAAAUAACCCUGCUCAGACUCUAACAGCUGAGUUGAAGCAGUGAUUUUGAAAAGGAAGAACUUGGAUCACAAUUUUAUGGCUAUCUCUAAAAUAUUUUAUUGCUGGUUUAUCACACCAGAGUGUAAAUUAUGGGGCUUUAAAAAGUUGCAUUGUGAAGGUUUUAUCCUUUGCUUAUGUACAGAACAUAAAUACUACUGUUUUGUUUUCAGGGAAAUUAAAUGCAUAUUUUUUAAAGGGCUGUUUAGGAAGCCAAGCAGGUUAGUAAGAAGAACACCUUAAUUUUUUUUUUUUGAUGUAUCCAUACUGUUUUUUUAUAAGUUGAUAAUGAGUAAUUAUUUUUGGUCAACUUAUAUGUCAAACAAUUGAAAAGAAGGAGAGGGGAAUAAGCAUGUGUUGUAUGCUUGCAAAUGCCACUACUGUGGAAAUGGUGUGUCUAACACAUGUGGAUCAGAGAAGAAUUGUCUUCUAUUACAUGACCUGUUGCAGAAAAAUAUCUUUUGGAAGCACAAGCCAUUUCUCAGGUCUGAAACAAACCUUAUAUAGUUUGUGUGUGGAUAAAAUUGGCUUAUACUGUGUGCAUACACAUAUAUGUGUGUCUACACAAAUGCACUUCUGUAGGUGCAACAGCAGCUACCAUAUUGUCUCAUUUGCAUUGAAACUCUAUGGGCAUGUCAUCCAUUUUCAGAACAGAAAUGUAACAAAUGAAGAUGUUUAGUUUCCUACUACAUUUUAAAAGCUAUGUAAUUCAAGAAAUGCAUUGUAUUUUGGAGACCAGAGUUUAAAGAUCAAUUCCUUUUGGAUGUGACUUCAUCAAGAUUCAUCAGUAGCUUACUCUGGUCUUUGCCUCUUGGGGUUUAUAUCCAGUAUUGCUUCAGAUUUUGCUCCAUCCUAUGUCAAGCUGACUCACUGUUAUUUCCUUCCACUGUCUCAUGCUGAGUAACCAUGGGCAGAAAAUAUGUUUUCAGCUGCUCCUUUUAGUUAAUGUUCUGGUUCCAGUAGACUCACUCAGCUAAAUUUUUCAAAAGUUAUGAAACAGUUCUGUCUGUGAACUCCAUGUCAUUCUCCUAUGUCCAAACUUGGCACCCAUUUCCUUUCCAAGCUCUGGGAAAAAGGCUGGUUUAUGUCUAUUGGGAUGAAACUGAGGUGUGAUUCUCCUGUUGUGGAAGGACUGGGAGGGGACAUGAGUAGCCAUAGUGGCGUGAAAUACCUGUUUUUAACAGUUCUAUAUUAUUAUUGUUCAAAUCUCUUUUAUGUGAUGUCUCUAUUCUCUUAGGAGAUUCAGAUGGAUCACUUUUUUCCAGCUGUCAAGGAAAAUACUGCUGCACAGUCCCUGCUCUCAACAACAUCCUCAGUGUCCUUGUGGUGGGGUGUCUUGGAAGGACUGUGCAGAUCAAGCUUCACACUGCCUCUGCCCUCGAGGCUCUCUGUGCUGACUGCUGCUGAAGUGUUCUUUCCUACACAGUUUGCAGAAAUUCAACUGGACAAGGCUAAAGUUACAUAGACUCAGUCUUUUAAGGCAGAAAGCUGCACCGUUUGGAAGAAGCAAGACAGUCUUUCCUCACAGCUACGAUGCUGCACCGCUUUCGACAGAACCUGCUUUUCCCUCCAUUUACCUGGGCGGCUGCUGCUCUUUCUGCUGCUGCUGGGGCUGCUGCAGUCUUGCUGCCUGCGCUUCGCCCUGGCUUGGCUGACUCGAAACUCUCUCGUCUGCACAUUGCUAAGGAAGAAGAGCGAUGGAGCCGCGGAUUUUUUUUUUAUUGGUUCUUGAAGCCAAGGGUUGCAAUAUGUGAUGAUUUUGGAGUUUUCUGUGGCGGGGCGGAGGGAGGAGAAAGGAAGGGUGUUAAUCUAGGAUAGGGUGGGUGAAAGCUUAAAGAAAUAUUAUGUAAAGUAAUCCAGUGCUCGACAAGGGCAUCAGCAACAAGAAUCCAGCCUCUGCUGCUCCAGAGGAUUAACAUGGGGAAGUCACAGUGCUGCAGUCGGGUUUCACCUCAGUGUUGUGCUGGAGAUGGAUAAAUAAGGUAUCGGUUGCAUCUGCCUGUUAAGGCAAAGCCAAGGGAGAAGGAGAGAGCGAGUGAAUGCAAAUGCAAAGGAAGAAGAAACGCUCUGUGCCGUUUGUCUGAUUCUGUGGAUUCUCACUGCAGAGAGGAUGGCUUGAUUAACAAAGCAACGUAUGGACCGAGGGACUGUAAAUUGUAGCUUGAGCAUUCCUGGUGCUGUCAGGGAGUGAACUGAUGAGUUAGGUGGCUGCAGGAAUAUCCCCAGGGAAAACAGCAGCCUCGCACUCUGUGUGUAUAUAUCUGUGUAUGUACGUGCUUUUGUGUGUGUGAGCUUGUAUAGAAAUGAAAGAAAGACAUUUCUGACCAAUUUACAGAGGACGUUUGUGAGUUUGCUGGGUCAGACUCAAUUGCAGCUUGCAUUUUCAGCUCUAGCUCUACACCCAUUUCCUGACUGAGGUGGCACUUUGUGAAAACAGAUGGUAGGCAGUAUUCUUUUAAGAAAUGUGAAAGCAGAUCCUUUGCGCUUAACACCUUGAAGCACUGAGUCUUCUGCACUGUGCUGAGAGAAACCGUGAGGUUUCAUUUUCUCUGUCUUAAAAUCUCUAUAAACACAGCUGUAUUCAGUAUGGUGAAAAAUUCUAUACUGUAAAUAGAAAUGUGAUCAAUCUAAUCAAAAUAAAUGCAUCCCAGAUGAGUUCUAGACCAGCUGGCUACCACAGUCAUCAGAUGGCUAAAUCCUCAACUGAGCAUUUGUAUUCAGUGUUAUACUUGCAUCUUUUUGUUUUUUCUUUUUUUUCUUAGAUUUUCAAAUUCAGUCUCUAAUUGAAAAGGAUUCUUCAUAUAUUGAGAAAAGCCAAUGUUUCCAUUUGGCACUUGACUUCUGUGAAAUGCAGCUGGGUGUAUUUUUUAUUGUGGAAUCUGCUUGGGGUGGUUUUAGAGCAGGUAGACUUGUCACAGCACAGGCAUAUUUCAUUUGGUAGGUAUUUCUUUUGGCCAUAUCUAAACAAUGCAGAAACAGGGAGAACAAGCACUGCACUCAGCCAGCAGGGCUUGGCAUGGAUUCUAGCAGCUGCCUAUCGAGAAAGACGGGGUUUUUUCCUUUCCUUUUUUCCCUUUUAUACAAAGCCAUAGACCAUAAUGUCAUACUAAAAUGUCUAUGAGGGGAUUUCCCAAUAGUCAUGGCGAGCUACCCUGCAAGACCCCCGUCUGGUCCUUCCACUAUUUGUUCCCCAGCCUACAAAGGCAGCCCUGUGUGUCGAAUUGUAUUUAGCCAGCUGUUGGACAACAUUCUUGUGCUGGGGGCUAAGGAGUCUUAUUACUCCCAAACUGUAGUUUUCUGUUUGCUUAAAGAAAAACAACUUUGGCAAUACAGCAGGCUCUGCAAAAGAGUUUGUGCCGCUCCUAUACCUUUCUGAAUCUGUUGUGUGCCUCUAACUCAGGCAGCUUAAAGCAAGCAAGGAGGGAGGAGGAGAGACUCUGAACUUGCAGUUUCAAAGCUGCAGAGAUGAGCAAAAUGUCAGCAGCUUGUAAUUAGGAGCCCACGGUUACGUCAGUGACUGUAUCUCUCCAGGAACUGCUAUGAGAUGUGCACCACAAAGCAAAGGAAGACUCCUAUAACCUGGUUAAAAAGCCUGGCUCAAACAAGAAAGAGCAAAAUGGAUUAAUGAAUCUGCUGUGUUCCCAAGUCAGAUGUGGAUGGAUUACAUGCCCAAGGUUUGCUGAAUUCUGCAGCAGUGAAGACUGAAUUAUGGCAUGCAUUCACCAAAAGCGCAAAUCCUUCAGGAAUAAAUGCAGAUGAGCAGUAUAUCCUUGAAAAUUUCUUUCCUAGCUCUGUCCUGUACAGGCAGCUGCAUGGCAUGGAGGCAUGCUCUGAAGGAAGAGACCAGCGAGCUGCACAAAGGAAAGGAAGGGUGCAAUUAGACACAAAGCAAGCCUGCUGAAAUUCUGUUCUGGCAUUACAGAUUUGAUACUGAAAUACCACCCCAGAGGAGACUGGGCUGGGCUCUGGUGUGGUUUAUAUUAAGGCUUCUCUGGUUAAGAGUGAGGGGGGAGGGGACAGGGCUUCCUGCAGCAUCUUGCAGCCAUGCAGAAUUCCCCAGGGCUGUGGGAAGUGGGAGGGAUGGAUGUGCUCUUAAAGGCACAUGCCCAGAUCCUGGCAAGGGGCUUUCUGACCUCUGCAAUUAUUUUUAGGUCUGUGAAGGCAACUCAGCAGUGCUUAAGCAGUGAGAUUGCAGGGGGUGUUUAAUCUGCUGCGACUGGCCCUUCUCUGUGUCAUGGCUGGCAGAGGUUUAUAGGGCUUUUGUCAAUACCCCUCCACCACGUCCAGCACGCAUGUCUGUCACUGCUCCCAAAGACCAGUUACUGGAGGUCUGGUGUGGUUCCCUGCUCCCAGCAGAAGUCACUUGCAGUUCAGCUCUGUUGUAGUUGCUCUUUAAUUUACCAGGAUAGGUAGAUUGAAUUAUUCAAGCAGUGGGGGUGGGUGGUUUUUGGUUUGGAUUUGGUUUGGGCUUUUUUUUUUUUUUUUUUGGACUGUGAACACAGAUUUGUAGGAGGAGGUGACUCUGUAUAUUAAACCAAUAGCUCUUUGAAUUGUGUGUAGUAUAAUUUAAAUAUACUUACUUUAAUUAAUCGAAGGUUACAAAAGCUGGCAUUGUCUGGGGCUGUUUAAUUUACAUCUUAGGUUUAGUCAAUGAGCAUAACCUGCCUGAUUAGAAUAGCAUAUUCUGCACAGCCAACAGGGUGGAAGGCAUUAUUUUGUUUGCGUUAGCUCAAACAGCUGGUCAUUAAUGCAGGCCCCAUCUCCAGAGUGAAGUGCUAGUGGACAUGAAUGGCUGCCUGAUUAAUGCUGCCCCUCGACGGGUCCUUCAUCCAGCAGCGAUGCUCGCAGCAGAAUAAUGCAGCGGGGUUUGAUUGCGCUCUAACGGGGCAGUGUGUCAUUGUGUCACCGAGCCAUCGGGGUUAUUAUGGGCUGGGGCAGACAGACGGGACACUGGGGUUACUAGACCGUGGCAUUUUUAGAAAUGCAGGGCUGACCUACUUAGAGUUAUUCUUGCUGGCUGGCAGCUGCCUGGUGCGGGGCUCCCCCGGAUAGGCUGCGGCUGUUGCUAGGGGGAAUUAGCAUGAAUUUUUCCACAUACAGACUCAGUGAUUGAAUGAUAAAAGCUGACUGGAAUUAAAGAGAUUCGGUUCAGUAUUAUGCAGAUUUAUCUCCCUCAUUUUUUUUUUCUCUCUGUCAAAUGCAUAAAAAGGAGCAGAAAACAGUUUGUUUCCAUUUAUUUUUGACCUAUUUUUUUUUUUUUCCAGGGGAGGGCAGAAGUGUUGUGAGGUCAUAAUUUAAUAUUUAGGCUGCUGAAAUGAUAUGAUAGUGGGAAUGCAUCUUUAAUGUAUGGAAGAUUAAAAUGCUGCCUCUCUGGAAGGGAAUGAAAUGAAUAUAUUUUGUAUAUAUUUUACGUUCUGGUCAGGCUGCCACCUCUUUUUAUUUGAAGCCAUGUCAGAUUCUUUCAUCUGGAAAGGGGAAAUAUAUACCAGGUUUUAUUGCAUAACAUUAUCUUAGCUAUUUUUAGCUAUCUGUACUUCAAAAAAUUAGUCCUAUUUAUGCCAGUGGAUGAAAUUAAUCCCCAGGCUAUGCCUUAUGUAUGUGGAGACAGAUGCCCAGGGUAGCUGCAGUGUUGUGUGUCAUAUUCAGCUGAAAAGGUGUUUACAUACUCCAGGCUUAUCAGCACUGCAUACCUAGCAGAGUGCUGGUGCCUGACAUAUAAUCAGAUCAAUUAGAGAACUCUUCAGGAUUUUGGAGCAUUUAUGAGGCCCUGGCUUGAAGCUGGAAUCUCUAGAUGGCCUUCUUUUAUUUAUCUACAUCUGCCUAAAACAGUGUUAUCUCUUCACAGAACUCUGUGCUCCCUUAGGAAGCAAAUAAAAACAAUACUCAGUGAAGAAUCCUUUGAUGUAAUCAUGAAUAUUUCCUUUGUUAUUAUCACUAAUUAUAGAAGAUCUUUGUUUAAACCGUUAUUUCCCUCUGUGUGAUCUUUUGCCAUGCAAAGAAUUUCCAAUUUAGUACUUAUAAUUUAAAGUUAAAUAUUCAUGGCAAUGCAUCAUGACAUCACACUCAAAGAAGUGGGAAUUUUCAAAAUAUGAGACAGUGGGGGAUGGGAGAGAAGGGCCCACAUGCCUUUGGAAUUGCAAAAUAAAAAAUGGGACUCAGUGCUGAAAAGUAGUGAACUCAUUUUUGUCUGAAACAGUUUGAUUUCAAAUAUUUGGAUGAAUUAGACACCUUUUAGAGGGGUGUGAACAGCUUGCACAUCUGAGGUACCUUUUAGAGGAGUGUGAGCUGCCUGUGCAUGUCUCUGCAUAGCUAGCUGCUUCCCUGGACCCAGAGCUGUCCUGCCUUGGCCCCUGGAAUUUAUUGGGAAGGUAAAAAAAAAAAAAAAGAAACCAGAAAUGGAGACAUGAAUUUGAAUGCAUUUUGUGGCUAAGGCAAAGCAUUCAGUUCCUACAGAUUUGAAUUUCCUAUGUCUUUUACCCGGCAUUGAUUCAUUACUGAAACUCCCACCACUUUCUUCUCUGCUCCUUCCUGACAGUCUCAUGGAACGACAGAUUUUUGGAGAAGUGAAAGUGAGGGUGGGCACUAUUUGAAGCCUACUAAUUGUGUUUGCUUUGUCUGUACUUGGAGGUUAAUCCAGAAAGUUUUGGUCCCACUUCCCUCAGCAGUAUUGUGUUGAUCAAAAUCUGAUGUCCUGCUCCACUUUCCUGUAGGAUGCUGCAGGAUGCUAGGCAGCAGACAGCCUUUGUCUACAGCUGUCUCUUGAGGUUCUUGCCCUGUUUGGUUGUAGCCAGUUGUAGUUUCAUCCAGUUCACCUGGGAUAUUAGCUGACUUGAGCUUCAGCAAGUCAAAAUAAGUAUGCAAUACCAUAUUAAUGCAGUGGCUCAUUUUCUAGAAAAAAGAAUCUAUGUUUGGUAUAUUCGUGCUAAAAAAGAGGAGUUCAAAGAAAAGCAACAAACAAGGUACAGCACAUACUCUCGGAAAAGAGUUGUGUCCUUGCUGUUUAUCUGGAUUUCAACACACUGAUUGUUUAUAACAAACAUCAUAUCAGACAGUUUAACAAACCAUCAAGUGACAUAUUUAAUAUAAAAAAUAUAGUGCACCAGAAAUUGUAUUCAAUGUAAAGUUGCCCUGCUGAAAGUCUCUUUGAUGAGAAUUUUUCCAAACAAUUGAAUAUGUGAAUGAUGUGAUCAUAAUACUUUGGGUAAUUAUGAGUAGCAGAAAUUUGGAGUUAAUGAAACAAACCAAAAAUCUGAGCUCUGUGUGUGUGUAUAAUGCAUAAGAAACAGUAUGCCAGAGGAGUUUGAAAUACAUGUCUGUGUUGAAAAUAUUGUCAGUUGUGCACAUUCUUUUGAAAAACCCACGUUAAUCACUUUCUGAUGAUCUCUGAGGCUUCUAUUCUUGCUACAACUUUCACCUCCUACCUUGAAGUUUCUUACCUACAAAAGCUUGUGUUGUAUUUUUCAACAUUCCUGUACUGUGACCUCUCCUGUGAGUUAUGAAAGAUCUAUUAUGCUGAGUCUCAUGCUCUAGGGUGGCUAAGUGAAUGCUGAUUUACUGAGAGCAUAUGCAGGCAAUAUUUUUUUUUUCCCAUCAAAAUAUCCAGAAACCUGCCUCCAUUUGCAGCUGUGAGGUGGCUGUACUGAUGGGUCUAUUCCUGACAUCAAAGUCUAGGCCAGUCAUGGAUUUGCUGAGCAUUUUGUGAUUUUAUGGCAACUUUCUGUUUUUCUGAAAAUGAUCAGAGGAUACAGGAUAUAGAGCAACUCAUCUAGAUUCCUGUGCCACAAGGAGUGAGUUGACUCCCGGCCUUCACCUCCUGCAGGGCCAUACAGAUCAGUUCUUAUGUAGCAAAUGUGUUUCAGUUCCAAUUUCAAACCAAAAAUACAAGGAAUUGUCUCAUAUUUCUCAAAAGACUGGCAGUUAGCACAUUCCUUUUAUAGCAAUGCAGUAGGGAAUACAAAUGUUUAACAAAAUAAAAUAAUCCCUACAAGAUUUUUUUU